UUUUUGAGAGUUUGAUCCUGGCUCAGGAUGAACGCUGGCGGCGUGCCUAAUACAUGCAAGUCGAACGAGGGUAGCAAUACCCUAGUGGCGAACGGGUGAGUAACACGUAGGUAACCUGCCUUUUAGUUUGGGAUACCCAGAGGAAACUUUGGUUAAUACCGGAUAUGAGUCUUAGAGGCAUCUCUAGGAUUUGAAAGGGGCUUCAAAGCCCCGCUUUAAGAU
rnacentral:rRNA from 1 species